rnacentral:lncRNA from 1 species
ACUCUGCUGAUAGCUUUCAUAAUGCACCCGACUCCCACUUAGUACAACAAUGAACCCACCGAUCGCUCACUCAAGUGUUCUUUCCUUGCAUCCAAACAUCACAUAUACAUAGGCCUACUCAUCUGUCUCUUACUGAGUGAUUCAUUCUGAACGCUGCACAGCUAAAUCACAACAUCUCUACUUUCAUACUCUCCCGGCUAUCUCAGUUUUCCAAGCUUUUCAUGCUUCACCUUUCAAACCUGCCUCAGUGUACAAGAAUUGAUAGCUAGAAAUCGAACUCGAAACCCAUCCAUCUUUCUCACAUUUUCACACUCACCCCAUCCAUCCUUCUGUCACUCUGUUGUUCCCUCCUCUGUUAGUUCCUUCCAUUUUUGUUUGGGACAUUCAUUAUUCCCUGCCUCUUCAAAUCUGUGCCAUCUUUGGUUUCCUAAGCUAUGUGACAACUAAUAGUCUGCUCUGCCUCAGUUUCUUCAUUUUGAAGUGAGAAUAAUAGGAGCACUUACCUCACACUUAAUAAGAUAAUAUUAGUAAAGUGCUUAUCACAGUGCCUGACACAUAGUAGGUUCUUAAUAAAUGCUUAUUUCCUUUUCCUCCUCUUCCCUUUUUUUCCUCUUUCCUUUCCUUUCCUUCCAUUCCUUUUUGGCCCUCUUAUAUUCUAUGUACAUUUGUAGAGUUGACUCUGCCAUCGUAGAAGAAGAUAAACCGGGUUCCUCCAUAUGAUGUCAGUGUUUGUUGUGGGAAGUUCUGUAUCUGAUUGACAAACAUAUCGAAUUAUGUUCCCACUCACUAAUUAUGAAAUACAAAUGAAAACACCGCUUCAAUUUCACAGAUUGGUAAACACGAAAACAAGAGACAAAUGUUAAAUACCUGUCCAAAUGAGUGUGAAAAUCUUGUCAGUGAGGAGAGCUGUGAGGAGCUCUUGGGAUUUGGGGAAACAUUUUGCUAUCAGCAUAUAAGCCAUUAAACCUACAUUUAUACUUGCUAUGUCAACAUUACUCAUAUAAACACACGAUCUAUAGAUCUAUUUUCCAGUUGGACACUCACAUGCAUGUAUGUUCACAUAUCCUACAUAUAUGAAAGAGAAACAAAAAGAAAGUACCCAUCCUUGUGGUAGCAAAGCAGGGGAAGGAAAGCCACAUGGUCUUGAGAAUGGCAGGACAGAUUGUGGUGGGCAGAUGUCAUGGAUUCUCAUUGUUCUGUGAACCAAAACAGAGACAAAUAUUAAGUAUUCAGAAAAAAUUAAGAAGCUUUGGAUAUGGUAGUGCAAAACAAAGUAAGUGGAAAGUAGGAGAGAACUUUACACGAAGGCCACUAGAAUAUUCAAUAAAAUAACACAGGAAAGUUCCGAGUUCUACUCACUGUAGGAACUUGCUCAUGACAGGUCACGUGUGGCUUCUUCCUUCUUCAGAGAGGUAGGGCACAAAUAAGGCCUACAUUGGUAGUCAAGGGCAAUAUAGCGCUUUGUUUUUCUGAAUUGCAAUGGAAUGCCAUUGAAACAUAGGACAACGUCAAUAGGAGGAUUUCAGAGAAUCUUGGGAAAACUCUCCCUUGAUCCUACCAUCCACACUAGAUAUCCCUCCAUUUAUAUAUACUCCUCUACUCUGCUGUGUCCCCCAUCUGUAUCCUUUCAUCUGUCUCUGUGUCCCGGUGUUCAUGUUUGUCUGUGACCCUGUCUUUUCCCACUUGCUCGUGUGUCUGCGUCCAUGUGUCUACAUGCUUCCUUGGUCACCAUCAUUUUCAUCUCUCUGUCUCUUCCUCUUUGGUACAGAUCUCCUUGAUAAAGCCAUCUACAGCUGCUGCCUCCACUUUAUUCACUGUUCCAAACUCUGUCCUCUAGCUUCCAACCUCAUCCUUCCACUAUUUCCUCUAAUGAUCCCCUACUUGCUAAACCCAAUGGCCUUUUCUCAGUCCUCAUCCUUCUUGACCUGUACGUUGCAUUCAGUGCGUUUAAAGAGGCCCCUUUUCCUGGAUAGUCUAAAUGUUUCUGGUUUUUGUAAACUUUGUUCUUUCUUGGUUCUUCUCCUGUCUGUCUCAUCAUUCAUUCUCCAUCUCCUUUGCUGGAUCAUCAUCUAAAUCAUACUUACUAAAUCUGUGCCCCCAAAGCCUUUGCCUUGAGCCAUCUUCUCUUUUCUCUUUCUAAUUGUCAUUUGAUGACUGUGUCAGUUCCCAUGAGUUUAUUGAUCAUAUCUAUAUAAAUGAUUUGGAGAUACCUAUAUUCAGCCCUCGUUUCUCUCCUGAGAUCUAGGAUUACAAAUUACCUAUUUUACAACUGGAUGCCUUCUAGGUAUAUCAGAUUCAACACGUGCAAAACAGAACACAUUUUCUUGCUCUAUCCAUAUGCUCUGUGUCCCUAAUCUGUGUGUCCAGCUUUUCUGGCCACAUGUAUCUCCUGGUUUGUCUAGUUACUAAUUUUUCUAUAUCUUUCACAGGUCUGUGUGUCUCCCAUCUUCAUGUAUCAUCUGUGUAUGUCCCUCUGGCUAGCCACGAGGCUCUCUGAAUAUCCACAGAUUGUCCCAUCUCUUUCCCAAAAUUUGUGCAUCUACCCAGCUUAUUCUUUUAUUUGUCCCUCUCUAUACAUUUACUUUUGUCUGUAAGUGCCCAUUUGUCUGUUCUUCCCUUUGCUUUUGUAUCCUCUUUGUCCAUGUGAAUUCAUAUAUUACCAUAUUCACGCUGUGUAUCUUCAGCUAUAUCCCCCACCUCCUGCCUCUGUUCCCCCAGAUAUUGAAGAGGCCCUCAAGCGAUCCACAUGUUCCCCAGCUGUUUAUAUCCCACCUUAUAUCUGGGCAUAUUUCCCCCAUUUGUCCUUCCAUUUGAAUUGUCUUAGGAAGAUUCUAAAAAUACUUGGCAAGAUAAGGUACCAGAUGCCGAGGUCCUCUCUCGACUUGCUUUGAGCACCAAAGACAAAAGCAAAUCCCCAUCUGUAUUCCCCUUCGGGUGUGCAUCCCUCCAUUUAUAUAUACUCCUCUACUCUACUGUGUCCCCCCCUAUCUUUAUCCUUUCAUCUGUCUCUGUGUCCCAGUGUUCAUUUUUAUCUGUAACCGUGUCUUUUCCCACAUGCUCGUGUGUCUGCAUCCAUGUGUCUACAUGCUUCCUUGGUCACCAUUCCCAUAUGUUCCCUUGUGCUGCUAUGUCCUGUCCCCCUCGCUCAUUUUCCCCAUUUGUGUUUCUCCCAGUUGUCGCUGCCCCAUGUCUAAGCAGCCCUAUUUGAUUCACCAUAUAGAUGUUUCUUUUAGAGCUCUCAUUUAUUUGACAUGUCUUCCAUCUGUCUCUUGGUAUCCCACUACCAGUGUGUGUUUCUCAUCUGUCAUUUCCCUCCAUUUCUCUUUUGUUCUAUCUCUAUUGCCCCUUUGUGUGUCUAUCUGACUCUCCUUCUGCCCAUAGGUCCUCAUCAGUGUGUCUCUGUAUUUACCCUCCCUGCUUCUACGUACGCUCUGUCAGCGUGUAUACCCUCUAUGUUUCUGUGUCUACCCAUGCCUCCUCACCUGGGAUAUUCCUUGUCUUUGGGUCUUCUUUGUUCCCGUCCAUUGUAUACGUCCUCAUCUGAGUCCCACUUCCUUCGUGUAUCCCUGUCUUGUUAUCCGAUGUCUGUUUGUCCUGCUUCUGUUUUUUAAAUAAUAGCUCUAUUUAUCAAAAUAUAUUCAGAGAGUUUUCAACAUGCACCAAAAAACCUUGGGUUCCAAAUUUGUCCCCCUCCCUUCCUCUCCACCUCUCCCUUCCCCUAGAUAGCAAGCAAUCUAAUAUAGAUAAAUCAUGUGUAAUGCUUGUAAACGUCUUUUCAUAAUUAUCAUGCUGCACAAGAAAAAUCACAUCAAAUGGGGAAAAAUGAGAAAGAAAAAAAAACCAAGCAAGCAAAUAACAGUAGCAAAAAAGGAGAAAAUACUUUGAUGUGCUCCCCAUUCAGUCGCAUAGUUCUCUCUGGAUGCAGCCGGCUCUCUCCAUCAUAUGUCCAUAGGAAUUGGCCUGAAUCGUCUCAUUGUUGAGGAGUCAUGUCAUGCUUCUGUUUGUACAUGUCUCUAUGCCCCAUUCUACAUAUCACAUAUGUCUGUUCCCAAUCUGUUUGUUGCCAAAUCCUCCCAUUUAAGCACCUGGUCUACGACUGUCAACCCUUCUUCCUGUCUGUAUGUCCUCCUCUGUAAGGACAUUUCUGUGUUCCCUCCACUCCCCUCUGGUCCAUAGGGAUCACUUUUGUCAGUCUGGGUCUCUGUCUACCAUUUGUCCACAUCACCCUCCUUGGGAGUUCCCUCUGCCCACCUGUGCAUGUCCUGUCUGUUUUGUCCCAUUCUGCCCUCCUCUCUGUCCCUAUGUUUGUGUGCCCCAACUAUACCUUCCCUUAUGUGGAUCUCAUCUGGGUCUCCGUGGCAGUCUGUGUUUCAUCUGUCUCUCCAUUGGUGUGCCCACUCCCUUCUCUAUCUGUCAUGUCUGUGUGGCCCUUGUCUGGUCAUGUGCCCCUUCUUGUGUACGUGAAUGGGCAUGACCCCAUCUGGGUGCAUCUCCUUGUCAGGGCUCUCUGCCUGCAUCUGCUCCUGUUCCUGUAUGUCUCUCCCCCAUUCAUUUCUAUGACCUCCUGUCUUUCUGGGCAUCCUGGCAUCCCCAUGUCUGACUGUGCUGCACCCUACAUUUCAUGCCAAUGUAUGUCUGUUUCUUGGGGUCCUUCUGCCAAGAAACUGUGCUUUUCUUAAAGAAGGCACUUACUAGUAUAUCAGCCUGGGUGACUUCCACACUCCACCCGCGGCCCAUGUGGAGACUGCAGGUCACAAAAGAUCCCAGAUCAUUUUUAUCCCUCUCCCUCCAACUUUUCUCGUGGCUCUCUUCAGUUGGUUGUCUAUCUAUUACUUUGAGUCCUAUCUUUCUUCACAGCCACCCCUGUCCUAACAUUUUCCUGCCUCCCAUCAUCUGUCUCUAAUGUCUGCUUAUCUCUGUGUCCCAUGUACCUCCCUUUCUAUGGACCUAUCCGAGUGGCUCCCUGUCUCCAGGAGCCCUUCUCCCAGCAUGAACAAAGCGGUUUGCAAACCUUAAAUAUUUAUAUAAGUUUGAGAUAUUAUUAUUAUUAUUAUUAUUAUUAUUAUUAUUAUUAUUAUUAUUACUAUGAUUAGCACUCCUUGGAUAUUUCACUCAACACUUCUAAGUUGUUAUCAGCCCAUUCAUGACCGCCACUUUGCCCUGGUCAUCCAAGCACUUGUGAAAGCACCUAAUGAUACCGUCACCUAGUAGCCAUCACUCCCUUUUUCCCCAGAGCAACACAACAUACUCAGGCAAAUAAAAAUACAUGGCGAAAAUCUAGGUAAAUUAUAAAUUACAUCCCCAGAUGAUACAAUCCAGUAACCCUUUUCUCUCUUACCUGAUUCACUUUAUGGGCUCCGGUAUUUUGAACGUUGAAGAUUUGUGACCCCAGAGACCUUAGCAUACCAGGCCCUUCUGUCUGCUAUCUUACAAAGUCUGUCCAAGUUCACGUUUGCUCCUUCCAUGACACUCUCUCAUCUUUGUCACCUCCUGCCAUCCUCUUCUCCUUUUGCCUUCAAUCUUUUCAAACAUCAGAGAAGGACACUAUAGAAAGAAACAGAGAUGUUUCAGAGACAUGACAGGGUAGAGGUGAGAUUGAUUGCUUUCUCUUGUUUUUUGGGAACUCUUUGGUACCAUGAGUGUCAGAGCUAGGAUCAGAGGCCCUGACUUUGAAGGCAUCUUCCAGAGACAGAUGCUUUAGAGUCUGAACCGCCUGCUUAGUGACCAGCUGAUAUUCUCAAGUUCCAUCGAAACUCUAGCCUUGUAUUUCAGACCUCCAGGAGCAGAUUCUAAAUGGAACACAAUGAGAGAGCACCUCCACAUUUAAGAGUUUGGAGGAACUUUGUUCCCUUGGACUACAGGUGUCCUUAAAAUCUGUCUCCACUUUAAAAACCAGUGAAAAGGAAAGCCCUAGCUGAGGGGAGGAAUCCCAUUGAAUUCUAGUAUUACACAGUCAACCAUAACCAAGAGCUACUUCAGCUGCCAGGAGUAACCUUUCACUCCUAGUCUCCUAACAGCUGUUCUCAUUUGAGCUCCCCUCUGAGCUUAGUAGUUUCUAGUUCUGUGUAUCAAAGCUGUUACUAACAAGUAAUGGCAGCAGUUAGGGAGAAAGGCUAACUAUACUAGGAGGCCCGUAAAACUUUCCACCUUUAGGAGGGAGGAAUCGUGUUACUCUCACAUGUGAAAAUGACAACUGGUGUCCGUAUGAAUUGAAUCAAAAGCAGUUCAAAGUGAACUCCAAAGGCGAAGUUGAGAUCCAUAGAAAAAAACUUUGGUACAGCAGGUUCAAACCAUCAAUUACUUGGACAGCAGCUUCUUUCCAUGUUUACCAGAUGAAUAUCACUAAUAAUAAGAAAAUGACAAAUGAAAACAGUUGUAAAGAUUGAGCUCACAUCCAUCAGAUAAACAAAGAGAACAAAAUGUAGAAACAAUAAAUUACUAGACAGGCACAAUAAUACACUAAUCUUACUGAGAAGACAUCUAAUUUAUCCCUAUUACAAACAAUACUUCUUCUUGGUUUUAAAAAGAGACUAUAAUUUUUUAAAAACCUCUAUUUAUUCCUGUGCUUUCUGGGUUUUUUUUUUCUAGAAAUAGGUGUAUUUUCUCAAGUUUUUUUUGUAUCUAUUGAGAUAAUCACAUGAUUUUUGUUACUUUUGUUAUUAAUAUGAUCAUUUAUGCUAAAAGUUUUCCCAAUAUUGAAUAAGCCUUACAUUCUUGAUAUAAAUCCAACCUGAUAAUAUAUGAAGUUUCUGAAAUAUUGCUAUAAUCUCCUCACUAGUAUUUUAUUUAAAAUUUUUGAAUCAAUACUCAAUAGGAAGGUAUGAGCAACAUAUUUCUGUAGUAAAAUGAAAUUUGGUAGGAUAACUUCUUUGCCUAUUUUUCCAAAGAGUUUAAAUAGUAUUAGAAUUAAUUCUUUUUUAAAAUGAUUGUUAGAAUACACAUAUGAAUCAAAUUGUUCCUAAGGACUUUUUAUGUGCCCAUUGAUGGCAUGUUAAAAUUUCUUUGUCUAACAUAGAGUUAUUUAAGAAUUCCAUUUCCCAUUCUGUUAAUUUGGGCAAUUUUAUAUUUAUUGGGUCAAUUUUUAACUUCUAAUUUUAUCAAUCCUUUGUUUUUUUAAGAUUUCUAUAAUAACAUUUAAUAAAAAGUUUUUUUUUAAUAAUCUUUUUCUGUUUUCUUUUUAACUAUAAGCCCAAUUCAUUGUUCUGCUUUUUUCUUUUUUAUUAUUAUAAGCAUUUAGAGAUAUAAUUAUUUUCCUAAGGAAAAUAAAUAUUUUCCUAUUUUUCCAACUUUGGCUACAUUCCAGAAAUUUUGGUACAUUGUCUCAUUGUUAUUACUAUUCUUUAAUGAAUUUAUUGGUUCUAUGGUCCACCCAAUUUUUAGGACUUUUGUGUUUCCAAUUGAUGUUUAACCUAGGCUUCCAAAGGUCUUUAUUGAACAAAAUGUUUACUAUUUUAUGGUACCAAAAGAGUACAUAUGCCAUUUCUGAUUUUCUGUAGUUUAGUGAGGUUUUUAUGCCUUCUAUGGUAAGUUUCUUGAGGAUAACUAUAUGUAGCUUCUAUAUUCCCAAUCAGUUUUCUCCAGAGGUCUAUGAAAUCUAACUUUUCUAAUAUUCUAUUCAUCUCCUUAACUUGUUUCUUAUUUAUUUUAUUGCUAGAUGUAAUUAGUUCUAAGUGGUAAACUGAGGUUCCCCACUAGUAAACUUAUAAUAUUUCCUCCUCUAACUCAAUAUCCCUUGAGGAUCUAGAAUCUAUUCAAUUUGAUACUUACGUUUUAGUAUUGGUAUUACAUCAUUAUCUAUGAUACCUGUUAAUGAAAUGGAGUUUCCCUGGCUAUCUCAUUUAGUUGGGGAUAUUUUUGUUUUUGCUUCAUUUGAGAUCCUAAUUCUAAUGCCUACCCUACUAAGCUCAUCAGAAGCAAAAUAGAUUCUGCUUUAGCACCUUAUUUUAACUCUUAUGUGUUUUUCUGUUCCAUGUAUGUUUCCUGUAAACAACAUAUUUGUUGGAUUCUCUUAUCUUAAUUUAUUAUGUUUUCUGCUUCCAUUUUAUGGCUGAGUUCAUCCCAUUCCCAGUUAUGAUCAAUAACUAUUACCCUACAUCCUAUUUUUUAUCAUACUCUUUUUAAAAUUCUAUCCCUCUUCUAAACUCUAUUCUGCUUCUUAGAACUACCUCCUUUAAUGCCAUCAAAGCAAAGCUGCAGGAGGAACUUUUGCUUCCUUAUAGUGGCAAGUGCAUGUCUUCUCCCUGGAGCUACAACAGGGACUUCUGGUUACUUGUGAUGGCAAGUGCUCCUCUUCACCCUGUCGCUAUAGCAGGGAAUUCUGGUUAGGUGUGAUGGGACUGCUCUUAUUUACCCCUGGAACAGCAGCAGGGACUUCUCGUAACUUUUGAUGGCAACUGCACCUCUUCACCCUCGAGUGGCAUCAGAAAAUUCUGGUUACUUGUGAUGGCAAGUUUUCCUCUUCACCCUGGAGCAAUAGCCGGGACGUCGAGUAAAGUGUGAUGGCAAGUGUUCCUCUUCACCCUGUCACUAUAGCAGGGAAUUCUGGUUACGUGUGAUGGGACUGCUCUUAUUUACCCCUGGAACAGCAGCAGGGACUUCUCGUAAUUUUUGAUGGCACCUCUUCACCCUCGAGUGGCAUCAGGAAAUUCUGGUUACUUGUGAUGGCAAGUUUUCCUCUUCACCCUGGAGCAAUGGCCGGGACUUCGAGUAAAGUGUGAUGGCAAGUGUUCCUCUUCACCCUGGACCUGCAGCAGGAACUUCAAGUAAUUUGUGAUGGCAACUGUUGUUCUUCACCCUGGAGCUGCAGGAGGGACUUCUGCUUACUUGUGAUGGCAAGUGUUCGUCUUCACCCUGGAGCUGCUACAGGGACUUCUGGUUACUUGUGGUGAAAUGUGUACCUCUUCAGCCAGGAGCUGCAGCAGGGACUUCUGGUAACUUGGGAUCACAAGUGUUCCUCUUCACCCUGGAGCUACAGCAGGGACUUCUGGUUACUUGUGAUGACAAGUGUUCGUCUUCACCCUGGAGCUGCAGCAGGAACUGCUGGUAUCUUGUGAUGGCAAGUAUUCCUCUUCACACUGGAGCGUCAGCAGGGACUUCUGGCACCUUGUAAUGGCAACUAUUGUUCUUCACCCUGGAGCAGCAGCAGGGACUUCUGGUAACUUGUGAUGGCAAGUGUUCCUCUUCACCUUGGAGCAGCAGCAGGGACUUCUGGCAACUUGUAAUGGCAACUAUUGUUCUUCACCCUGGAGCAGCAACAGGGACUUCUGGUAACUUCUGAUGGCAAGUGUUCCUCUUCACCUAGGAGCAGCAGCAGGGACUUCUGGGUCCUUGUGGUCACAAGUGUUCCUCUUCACCCUGGAGCAGCAGCAGGGACUUCUGGCAAAUUGUGAGGGCAACUGUUGUUCUUCACCCUGGAGUAGCAGCAGGGACUUCUGGUAACUUGUGAUGGCAACUGUUCCUCUUCACCCUGGAGCUGCAGCAGGAACUUCUGGUAUCUUGUGAUGGCAAGUAUUCCUCUUCACACUGGAGCGUCAGCAGGGACUUCUGGCACCUUGUAAUGGCAACUAUUGUUCUUCACCCUGGAGCAGCAGCAGGGACUUCUGGUAACUUGUGAUGGCAAGUGUUCCUCUUCACCUUGGAGCAGCAGCAGGGACUUCUGGCAACUUGUAAUGGCAACUAUUGUUCUUCACCCUGGAGCAGCAGCAGGGACUUCUGGUAACUUGUGAUGGCAAGUGUUGCUCUUCACCUAGGAGCAGCAGCAGGGACUUCUGGGUCCUUGUGGUCACAAGUGUUCCUCUUCACCCUGGAGCGGCAGCAGGGACUUCUGGCAAAUUGUGAGGGCAACUGUUGUUCUUCACCCUGGAGUAGCAGCAGGGACUUCUGGUAACUUGUGAUGGCAACUGUUCCUCUUCACCCUGGAGAUGCAGCAGGGACUCCUGGUAACUUGUGAUGGCAAGUGUUCCUCUUCACCCUGGAGCAGCAGCAGGGACUUCUGGGUAUUUGUGGUCAAAAGUUUUCCCCUUCACCCUGGAGCAGCAGCAGGGACUUCUUGCAACUUGUGAUGGCAACUGUUGUUCUUCACCCUAGAGCAGCAGAAGGGACUUCUGGUUACUUUUGGAGGCAAGUGCUUUUUUUCACACUGGACCUGCAGCUGUGAGGUCCACUUAUUGGUGAUAGGAAGUGUUCUUCUUCAAACGGGAGCUGCAGCUUGGACCUCUGCUUGGUUGUGAUGGCAAAGGCCUCUCUCCACCCCUAAGCUGCAGUUGGGACGUCUGCGUAGUUGUGAUGGCAAAGGCCUCAUUCUAUCCUGGAGCGGUAUAUGACACCUCUGCUAGGUUGUGAUAGCAAAGACCUCUGUCCAACCCAGAGAUGCAACUGAGACCUCUGAUUUGUUAUGAUAUCAAAGGCCUCUCUCCACCCCUAAGCUGCAGCUGUGUCUUCUGCAUUUUUCUUAGGGAAAUUGGUCUUCUUCACCCAUUAGCUUCAGGAAAGAUUUCUGGUAACAUUUCAUGGCACGUGGUCCUCUUCACCUUGGUGCAGCAGCAGGGACGUUAGGCAACUUGUAAUGUAAACUGUUGUUCUUCACCCUGGAGCAGCAGCAGGGACUUCUGGUAACUUGUGAUCACAAGUGUUCCUCUUCACCCUGGAGCUACAGCAGGGACUUCUGGUAACUUGUGAUGGCAAGUGUUGCUCUUCACCCUGGAGCUGCAGCAGGGACUUCUAGUAACUUGUGAUGGCAAGUAUUCCUCUUCACCCUGGAGCGUCAGCAGGGACUUCUGGUUACUUGUCAUCACAAGUGUUCCUCUUCACCCUGGAGCAGCAGCAGGGACUUCUGGCAACUUGUGAUGGCAACUGUUGUUCUUCACCCUAGAGCAGCAGGAGGGACUUGUGGUUACUUUUGGAGGCAAGUGCUUUUCUUCACACUGGACCUGCAGCUGUGAUGUCCACUUAUUGGUGAUAGGAAGUGUUCUUCUUCAAACGGGAGCUGCAGCUUGGACCUCUGCUUGGUUGUGAUGGCAAAGGCCUCUCUCCACCCCUAAGCUGCAGUUGGGACGUCUGCGUAGUUGUGAUGGCAAAGGCCUCAUUCUAUCCUGGAGCGGUAUAUGACACCUCUGCUAGGUUAUAAUAGCAAAGACCUCUGUCCAACCCAGAGCUGCAACUGAGACCUCUGAUUUGUUAUGAUAUCAAAGGCCUCUCUCCACCCCUAAGCUGCAGCUGUGUCUUCUGCAUUUUUCUUAGGGAAAUUGGUCUUCUUCACCCACUAGCUUCAGGAAAGAUUUCUGGUAACACCGAAAUUGGUCUUCUUCACCCAUUAUGUUCAGGAAAGAUUUCUGGUAACAUUUCAUGGCACGUGGUCCUCUUCACCUUGGUGCAGAAGCAGGGACUUUAGGCAACUUGUAAUGUAAACUGUUGUUCUUCACCCUGGAGCUACAGCAGGGACUUCUGGUAACUAUUGAUGGCAAGUGUUGCUCUUCACCCUGGAACUGCAGCAGGGACUUCUGGUAACUUGUGAUGGCAAGUGUUCCUCUUCACCCUGGAGCGUCAGCAGGGACUUCUGGUUACUUGUCAUCACAAGUGUUCCUCUUCACCCUGGAGCAGCAGCAGUGACUUCUGGCAACUUGUAAUGGCAACUGUUGUUCUUCACCCUAGAGCAGCAGGAGGGACUUCUGGUUACUUUUGGAGGCAAGUGCUUUUCUUCGCACUGGACCCGCAGCUGUGAUGUCCAGUUAUUGUGAUAGUAAGUGUUCUUCUUCAAACGGGAGCUGCAGCUUGGACCUCUGCUUGGUUGUGAUGGCAAAGGCCUCUCUCGACCCCUAAGCUGCAGUUGGGACGUCUGCGUAGUUGUGAUGGCAAAGGCCUCAUUCUUUCCUGGAGCGGUAAAUGAGACCUAUGCUAGGUUGUGAUAGCAAAGACCUCUGUCCAACCCAGAGCUGCAACUGAGACCUCUGAUUUGUUGUGAUAUCAAAGGCCUCUCUCCACCACUAAUCUGCAGCUAUGUCUUCUGCAUUUUUCUUAGGGAAAUUGGUCUUCUUCACCCAGUAUCUUCAGGAAAGAUUUCUGGCAACAUUUCAUGGCACUUGGACCUCUUCACCUUGGAGCAACAGCAGGGACUUUAGUCAACUUGUAAUGGAAACUGUUAUUCUUCACCCUAGAGGAGCAGCAGGGACUUCUGGCAACUUGUAAUGGCAACUGUUGUUCUUCACCCUGGAGCAGCAGCAGGGACUUCUGGGUACUUGUGGUCACAAGUGUUCCUCUUCACGCUGGAGCUACAGCAGGGACUUCUGGGUACUUGUGAUCACAAGUGUUCCUCUUUACGCUGGAGCUACAGCAGGGACUUCUGGUAACUUGUAAUGGCAACUGUUGCUCUUCACCCUGGAGCGUCAGCAGGAACUUCUGUUUACUUGUCGCCACAAGUGUUCUUCACCCUGGAGCAGCCGCAGGGACUUCUGGCAAAUUGUGAUGGGAACUGGUGUUCUUCACCCUAGAGCAGGAGGAGGGACUUCUGGUUACUUGUGGAGGCAAGUUCUUUUCUUCACACUGGACCUGCAGAUGUAAUGUUCAGUUAUUGGUGAUAGGAAGUGUUCAUCUUCAAGCGGGAGGUGCAGCUUGUACUUCUGCUUGGUUGUGAUGGCAAAGGCCUCUUUCCACCCCUAAGGUGCAGUUGGGACGUCUGCGUAGUUGUGAUGGCAAAGGCCUCACUCUAUCUUGUAGCGGUACAUGAGACCUCUGCUAGGGUGUGAUAGCAAAGACCUCUGUCCAACCCAGAGCUACAACUGAGACCUCUGAUUUGUUGCGAUAUCAAAGGCCUCUCUCCUCCCCUAAGUUGCAGCUGUGUCUUCUGCAUUUUUCUUAGCGAAAUUGGUCUUCUUCACCCACAAGCUUCAGGAAAGAUUUCUGGUAACAUUUCAUAGCACUUGGUCCUCUUCACCUUGGAGCAGCAGCAGGGACUUUAGGCAACUUGUAAUGGAAACUGUUGUUCUUCACCCUGGAGCAGCAGCAGGGACUUCUGGUAACUUUUGAUCACAAGUGUUCCUCUUCACCCUGGAGCUACAGCAGGGACUUCUGGUAACUUAGGAUCACAAGUGUUCCUCUUCACCCUAGAGCUACAGCAGGGACUUCUGGUUACUUGUGAUGACAAGUGUUCGUCUUCACCCUGGAGCUGCAGCAGGAAAUUCUGGUUAUUUGUGGUGACAAGUUUUUUUGUCACACUGGACAUGCAGCUGGGACGUCUAAUUAUUGCUGAUAGGAAGUGUUCUUCUUCAAACAGGAGCUGCAGCUUGGACUUCUGCUUAGUUGUGAUGGCAAAGGCCUCUCUCCAUCUGGGAGCUGCAGCUGAGACAGCUUCUUGGUUGUGAUGGCAAAGGUGUCUCUACAUCCUAGAACUACAGCUGAGACCUCUGCUUUCUUCUGAUGGCAAAGGCCUCUCUCCACCCCGGAGCUGUAGCUGAGACCUCUGCUUUGUUUUGAUAGAAAAGGCCUGUCUCCACCCCUAAUCUGAAGCUGCGUCCUCUGCAUUUUUCUUGGGGUAAUUGGUCAUCUUCACCCAGUAGCUACAGGAAAGAUUUCUGGUAACUUUUGAUGGCAAAUGUUCGUAUUCACCAUGGAGCUGCAGCAGGGACUUCUGGCAAAUUGUGAUGGCAAGUGUUGCUCUUCACCCUGGAGCUGCAACAGGGACUUCUGGUAACUUGUAAUGGCAAGUGUUGCUCUUCACCCUGGAGCAGCAACAGGGACUUCUGGCACCUUGUGAUGGCAACUGUUGUACUUCACCCUAGAGCAGCAGGAGGGACUUCUGGUUACUUUUGGAGGAAAGUCCUUUUCUUCACACUGGAGCUGCAGCUGUGAAGUCCACUUAUUGGUGAUAGGAAGUGUUCUUCUUCAAGCGGGAGCUGCAGCUUGGACCUCUGCUUGGUUGUAAUAGCAAAGGCCGCUCUCCACCACUAAGCUGCAGUUGUGACGCCUGCGUAGUUGUGGUUGGCAAAGGCCUCGUUCUAUCCUGGAGCGGUAAAUGAGACCUAUGCUAGGUUGUGAUAGCAAAGACCUCUGUCCAACCCAGAGCUGCAACUGAGACGUCUGAUUUGUUGUGAUAUCAAAGGCCUCUCUCCACCCCUAAGCUGCAGCUGUGUCUUCUGCAUUUUUCUUAGGGAAAUUGGUCUUCUUCACCCAGUAGCUUCAGGAAAGAUUUCUGGUAACAUUUCAUGGCACGUGGUCUCUUCACCUUGGAACAGCAGUAGGGACUUUAGUCAACUUGUAAUGGAAACUGUUAUUCUACACCCUAGAGCAGCAUCAGGGACUUCUGGUAACUUGUGAUGGCAAGUGUUGCUCUUCACGCUGGAGCUGCAGCAGGGACUUCUGGUAACUUGUGAUGGCAAGUGUUGCUCUUCACCCUGGAGCUGCAGCAGGGACUUCUGGUAACUUGUGAUGGCAAGUGUUGCUCUUCACCCUGGAGCUGCAGCAGGGACUUCUGGUAACUUGUGAUGGCAAGUGUUGCUCUUCACCCUGGAGCUGCAGCAGGGACUUCUGGUAACUUGUGAUGGCAAGUGUUCCUCUUCACCUUGGAGCAGCAGCAGGGACUUCAGGCAACUUGUAAUGGCAACUGUUGUUCUUCACCCUGGAGCAGCACCAGGGACUUCAGGUUACUUAUGGUCACAGAUGUUCCUCUUCAACCUGGAACUACAGCAGGGACUUCUGGUAACUUGUGAUGGCAAGUGUUCCUCUUCACCCUGGAGCUGCAGCAGGGACUUCAGGCAACUUGUAAUGGCAACUGUUGUUCUUCACCCUAGAGCAGCAGCAGGGACUUCUGGUAACUUGUGAUCACAAGUGUUGCUCUUCACCCUGGAGCUGCAGCAGGGACUUCUAGUAACUUGUAAUGGCAAGUAUUCCUCUUCACCCUGUAGCGUCAGCUGGGACUUCUGGCAACUUAUGAUGGCAAAUGUUGUUUUUCACCCUGGAGCAGCAGGAGGGACUUCUCAUUACUUGUGGAGGCAAGUUCUUUUCUUCACACUGGACCUGCAGCUGGGACAUCUACUUAUUGGUGAUAGGAAGUGUUCUUCUUCAAACGGGAGGUGCAGCUUGGACUUCUGCUUAGUUGUGAUGGCAAAGGCCUCUCUCCAUCUUGGAGCUGCAGCUGAGACAGCUUCUUGGUUGUGAUGGCAAAGGUGUCUCUACUUCCUAGAACUGCAGCUGAGACCUGUGCUUAGUUGUGAUGGCAAAGGCCUCUCUCCACCCCUAAGCUGCAGUUGAGACGUCUGCGUAGUUGUGAUGGCAAAGGCCUCGUUCUAUCCUGAAAUGGUAAAUGAGACCUCUGCUAGGUUGCGAUAGCAAAGACCUCUGUCCAACCCAGAGCUGCAACUGAGACCUCUGAUUUGUUAUGAUAUCAAAGCCUUCUCUCUCCACCCCUAAGCUACAGCUGUAUCUUCUGCAUUUUUCUUAGGGAAUUUGGUCUUCUUCACCCACUAGCUUCAGGAAAGAUUUCUAGUAACCUUUCAUGGCACGUGGUCCUCUUCACCUUGGAGCAGCAGCAGGGACUUCAGGCAACUUGUAAUGGAAACUGUUGUUCUUCACGCUGAAGCAGCAGGAGGGACUUCUGGUAACUUGUGAUCACAAGUGUUCCUCUUCACCCUGGACCUACAGCUGUGACUUCUGGUACCUUGUGAUGGCAAGUGUUCCUCUUCACCUGGGAGCAGCAGCAGGUACUUCAGGCAACUUGUAAUGGCAACUGUUGUUCUUCACCCUGGAGCAGCAGCAGGGAUUUCUGGGUACUUGUGGUCACAAGUCAUCCUCUUCGCCUUGGAGCAGCAGCAGGGACUUCUGGUAACUUGUGAUCACAAGUGUUCCUCUUCACCCUGGAGCUACAUCAGGGACUUCUGGUAACUUGUGAUGGCAAGUGUUCCUCCUCACCUUGGAGCAGCAGCAGGGACUUCAGGCAAUUUGUAAUGGUAACUGUUGUUCUUCACCCUGGAGCAGCAGCAGGGACUUCUGGUUACUUGUGAUGACAACUGUUGUUCUUCACCCUGGAGUAGCAGCAGGGACUUCUGCUUACAUGUUAUGUUAACUGUUGUUCUUCACCCUGGAGCAGUACCAGGGACUUCUGGUUACUUGUGGUGGCAAGAUCUUUUUGUCACACUGGACAUGCAACUGGGACGUAUAGUUAUGGGGAAUAUGAAGUGUUUUUCUUCAAACGGGAGGUGCAGCUUGGACUUCUGCUUAGUUGUGAUAGCAAAGGCCUACAUCCAUCCUUAAGCUGCAGCUGGGACAUCUAUGUAGUUGUGAUGGAAAACGCCUCUCUCCAUCUUGGAGCUGCAGCUGAGAUCUCUGCUUUGUUUUGAUAGAAAAGGCCUCUCUCCACCCUUAAUCUGCAGCUGCGUCCUCUGCAUUUUUCUUGGGGUAAUUGGUCUUCUUCACCCAGUAGCUACAGGAAAGAUUUCUGGUAACCUUUGAUGGCAAGUGUUGCUCUUCACCCUGGAGCUGCAGCAGGGACAUCUGGUAACUUGUGAUGGCAAGUAUCCCUCUUCAACCUAGAGCGUCAGCAGGGACUUCUGGUUACUUGUCGUCACAAGUGUUCCUCUUCACCCUGGAGCAGUAGCAGGGGCUUCUGGCAAAUUGUGAUGGCAACAGUUGUUCUUCACUCUGGAGCAGCAGGAGGGACUUCUCGAUACUUGUGGAGGCAAGUUCUUUUCUUUACACUGGACCUGCAGCUGUGAUGUCCAGUUAUUGGUGAUAGGAAGGGUUCUUCUUCAAACAGGGGCUGCAGCUUGGACCUCUGCUUUGUUGUGAUGGCAAAGGCCUCUCUCCACCCCUAAGCUGCAGCUGCGUCUUCUGCAUUUUUGUUAGGGAAUUUGGUCGUCUUCACCUAGUAGCUUCCGGUAAGAUUUCUAGUAACAUUUCAUGGCAGGUGGUCUUCUUCACCUUGGAGCAGCAGCAGGGACUUCAGGGAACUUGUAAUGGAAACUGUUGUUCUUCACCCUGGAGGUACAGCAGGGACUUCUGGGUACUUAUGGUCACAAGUGUUCGUCUUUACCCUGGACCUGCAGCAGGAACUUCUGGUAACAUGUGAUGACAAGUAUUCCUCUUCACCCUAGAGCGUCAGCAGGGAAUUCUGGUUACUUGUGGUCACAAGUGUUCCUCUUCACCCUGCAGCAGCAGCAGGGACUUCUGGGUACUUGUGGUCACAAGUGUUCCUCUUCACCCUGCAGCAGCAGCAGGGACUUCUGGGUACUUUUGCUCACAAGUGUUCCUCUUCACCCUGGAGCUACAGCAGGGACUUCUGAUUACUUGUGAUGACAAAUGUUCGUCUUCACCCUGGAGCUGCAGCAGGGACUUCUGGUAACUUUUGAUGGCAACAGUUGUUCUUCACCCUGGAGCAGCAGGAGGGACUUCUCGAUACUUGUGGAGGCAAGUUCUUUUCUUUACACUGGACCUGCAGCUGUGAUGUCCAGUUAUUGGUGAUAGGAAGGGUUCUUCUUCAAACAGGAGCUGCAGCUUGGACCUCUGCUUGGUUGUGAUGGCAAAGGCCUCUCUCCACCCCUAAGCUGCAGCUGCGUCUUCUGCAUUUUUCUUAGGGAAUUUGGUCAUAUUCACCUAGUAGCUUCCGGUAAGAUUUCUAGUAACAUUUCAUGGCAGGUGGUCUUCUUCACCUUGGAGCAGCAGCAGGGACUUCAGGGAACUUGUAAUGGAAACUGUUGUUCUUCACCCUGGAGCAGCAGCAGGGACUUCUGGGUACUUAUGGUCACAAGUGUUCGUCUUUACCCUGGACCUGCAGCAGGAACUUCUGGUAACAUGUGAUGACAAGUAUUCCUCUUCACCCUAGAGCAUCAGCAGGGAAUUCUGGUUACUUGUGGUCACAAGUGUUCCUCUUCACCCUGCAGCAGCAGCAGGGACUUCUGCGUACUUUUGCUCACAAGUGUUCCUCUUCACCCUGGAGCUACAGCAGGGACUUCUGAUUACUUGUGAUGACAAAUGUUCGUCUUCACCCUGGAGCUGCAGCAGGGACUUCUGGUAACUUUUGAUGGCAAGUGUUCCUCUUCACCUGGGAGCUGCAGGAGGGACUUUUGGUUACUUGUGAUCACAUGUGUUCCUCUUCACCCUGGAGCAACAGCAGGGACUUCUGGCAACUUGUGAUGGUAACUGUUGUUCUUAACCAUGGAGUAGCAACAGGGAUUUCUGGGUACUUGUGGUCACAAGUGUUCCUCUUCACCCUGAAGCAGCAGCAGGGACUUCAGGUUACAUGUUAUGUUAACUAUUGUUCUUCACCCUGGAGUAGCACCAGGGAUUUCUGGCAACUUGUGAUGGCAAAUAUUGUUUUUCACCCUGGAGCAGCAGGAGGGACUUUUGGUUACUUGUGGAGGCAAGUUCUUUUCUUCACACUGGACCUGCAGCUGGGACAUUUAGUUAUUGGUGAUAGGAAGUAUUCUUCAAAUGGGAGGUGCAGCUUGGACCUCUGCUUAGUUGUGAUGGCAAAGGCCUCGUUCUAUCCUGGAGCGGUAAAUGAGACCUCUGCUACGUUGUGAUAGCAAAGACCUCUGUCCAACCCAGAGGUGCAACUGCGACCUCUGAUUUGUUGUGCUAUCAAAGGCCUCUCUCGACCCGUAAGCUGCAGCUGUGUCUUCUGCAUUUUUCUUAGGGAAUUUAGUCUUCAUCACCUAGUAGAUUUAGAAAAGAUUUCAGGGCACAUGGUCCUCUUCACCUUGGAACAGCAGCAGGGACUUUAGUCAACUUGUAAUGGAAACUGUUAUUCUUCACCCUAGAGCAGCAGCAGGGACUUCUGGGUACUUGUGAUGACAAGUGUUCCUCAUCACCUUGGAGCUACCACCGGGACUUCUGCUAACUUCUGAUAGCAAGAGUUCCUCUUCACGUUGGAAAAGCUACAAGGACUUCAGGCAACUUGUAAUGGCAACUAUUGUUCGUCACCCUGGAGCAGCAGCAGGGACUUCUGGGUACUUGUGAUUACAGCUGUUCGACUUCACCCUGGAGCUGCAGCAGGGACUUCUGGUUACUUGUGAUGAUAAGUGUUCGUCUUCACCCUCGAGCAGCAGCAGGGACUUCUGGCAACUUGUGAUGGCAACUGUUGUUCUUCACCAUGGAGUAGCAGCAUGGACUUCUGGUUAUAUGUUAUGUUAACUGUUGUUCUUCACCCUGGAGCAGCACCAGGGAUUUCUGGUUACUUGUGUUGGGAAGUUCUUUUUGUCACACUGGACAUGCAGCUGGGACGUCUAGUUAUUGGUGAUAGGAAGUGUUCUUCUUCAAAGGGGUAACUGCAGCUUCGACCUUUACUUGGUUGGGAUGGCAAAGGCCUCUCUCCACCCCUAAGCUGCAGUUGGGACGUCUGCGUAGUUGUGAUGGCAAAGGCCUCGUUUUGUCCUGGAGCAGUAAAUGAGACCUCUGCUAGGUUGUGAUGGCAAAGACCUCAGUCCAACCAAGAGCUGCAACUGAGACCUUUGAUUUGUUGUGAUAUCAAAGGACUCUCUACACCUCUAAGCUCCAGCUGUGUCUUCUGCAUUUUUCUUAGGGAAUUUGGUCUUCUUCAUCCAGUAGCUUCAGGAAAGAUUUCUGGUAACAUUUCAUGGCACGUGGUCCUCUUCACCUUGGAGCAGCAGCAGGGACUUCAGGCAACUUGUAUUGGCAACUGUUGUUCUUCACCCUGGAGCAGCAGCAGGGACUUCUGGGUACUUGUGGUCACAAGUGUUCCUCUUCACCCUGGAGCUACAGCAGGGACUUCUGGUUACUUGUGAUGACAAUUGUUCGUCUUCACCCUGGAGCAGCAGCAGAGACUUUGGGAUACUUGUGGUCACAAGUGUUCUUCUUCACCCUGGAGCAGCAACAGGGACUUCUGGGUACUUCUGUUCACAAAUGUUCCUCUUCACCCUGGAACUAAUGCACGGACUUCUGGUUACUUGUGAUCAAAAGUGUUUGUCGUCACCCUGGACCAGCAGCAGGGACUUCUGGCAACAUGUGAUGGCAACUGUUGUUCUUCACCCUGGAGCAGCAGCAGGGAUUUCUCGUUACUUGUGAUGGCAAGUGUUCCUCUUCACCCUGGAGCUGCAGCAAGGACUUCUGGUUACUUGUGGUCACAAGUGUUCCUCUUCACCCUGGAGGUGCAGCAGGGACUUCUGGCAACUUGUAAUGGCAACUGUUUUUCUUCACCCUGGUGCAGCAGCAGGGACUUCUGCGUACUUGUGGUCACAAGUGUUCCUCUUCACCUUGGAGCGGCAGCAGGGACUUCAGGCAACAUGUGAUGGCAACAGUUGUUCUUUGCCCUCGAGCAGUAGCAGGAAUUAGGGGUAUUUAUGGUCGCAAUUAUUCCUCUUCACCCUGGAGCUUAAGAAGGGACUUCUGACAACAUGUGAUGGCAAGUGUUCCUCUUCACCGUGGAGCUGCAGCAGGGACUUCUGGCAAGUUGUGAUGGCAAGUGUUCCUCUUCACCCUGGAGCAGCAGGAGGGACUUCUGGCUACUUGUGUUGACUAGUGUUCCUCUUCACCCUGGAGUGGCAGCAGGGACUUCAGGGUAACUUGUGAUGGCAACAGUUGUUCUUUGCCCUUGAGCAGCAGCAGGGAUUCUGGGUACUUGUGGUCACAAGUAUUCCUCGUCACCCUGGAGAUGCAGCAGGGACUUCUGGUUCCUUGUGGUGGCAAGUUCUUUUCGUCAAACUGGACCUACAGGUGGGACGUCCAGUUAUUGGAGAUAGGAAGUGUUCUUCAAACAGGAGCUACAGCUUGGACCUCUGCUUAGUUGUGAUGGGAAUGGCCUCCUUCCACCCAUAAGCUGCAGCUGGCACAUCUAUGUAGUUGUGAUGGCAAAGGCCUCUCUCAACCCUAAGCUUCAGCUCUGUCCUAUGCAUUUUUCUUAGGGCAAUUGGUCUUCUUCACCCAGUAGUUACAGGAAAGAUUUCUGCUAACAUUUGAUGGCAAGUGGUCCUCUUCAACCUGGAGCAGCAGCAGGGAUUUCUGGUUACUUGUGAUGACAAGUGUUUCUCUUCACCCUGUAGCGGCUUCAGGGACUUCUGGUUACUUGGGGUCACAAGUGUUCCUCUUCACCCUGGAGCAGCAGCAGGGACUUCUGGUAAGUUGACCUGGCAAGUGUUCCUCUAUACGCUGGAGCUGCAGCAGGGACUUCGGGUAAGUUGUGCUGGCAAGUGUUCCUCUUCACCCUAGAGCAGCAGCAGGGACUUCUGGUAAAUUGACCUGGCAAUUGUUCCUCUAUACCCUGGAGCUGCAGCAGGGACUUCUGGUAAGUUGUGCUGGCAAGUGUUCCUUUUCAACCUAGGGCAGCAGCAGGGAUUUCUGGUUACUUGUGAUGACAAGUGUUUCUCUUCACCCUGUAGCGGCAGCAGGGACUUCUGGUUACUUGGGGUCACAAGUGUUCCUCUUCACCCUGGAGCAGCAGCAGGGACCUCUGGGUACUUGUGGUCACAACUUUUCCUCUUCACCCUGGAGCUACAGCAGGGCCUUCUGGUAACUUUUGAUGGCAAGUUGUUCCUCUUCACCUUGGAGCUGCAGGAGGGACUUUUGGUUACUUGUGAUCACAAGUGUUCCUCUUCACCCUGGAGGUACAGCAGGGACUUCUGAUUACUUGUGAUGGCAACUGUUGUUCUUCACCAUGGAGUAGCAGCAGGGAUUUCUGGGUACUUGUGGUCACAAGUGUUCCUCUUCACCCUGAAGCAGCAGCAGGGACUUCUGGCAACUUGUGAUGGCAAAUAUUGUUUUUCACCCUGGAGCAGCAGGAGGGACUUCUUGUUACUUGUGGAGGCAAGUUCUUUUCUUCACACUGGACCUGCAGCUGGGACAUUUAGUUAUUGGUGAUAGGAAGUGUUCUUCAAACAGGAGGUGCAGCUUGGACCUCUGCUUAGUUGUGAUGGCAAAGACCUCUCUCCACCCCUAAGCUGGAGUUGGGAAGUCUGCGUAGUUGUGAUGGCAAAGGCCUCGUUCUAUCCUGGAGCGGUAAAUGAGACCUCUGCUAGGUUGUGAUAGCAAAGACCUCUGUCCAACCCAGAGGUGCAACUGCGACCUCUGAUUUGUUGUGCUAUCAAAGGCCUCUCUCCACCCGUAAGCUGCAGAUGUGUCUUCUGCAUUUUUCUUAGGGAAUUUAAUCUUCAUCACCCAGUAGUUUCAGAAAAGAUUUCAGGGCACGUGGUCCUCUUCACCUUGGAGCAGCAGCCGGGACUUCUGGUAACUUGUGAUGGCAAGAGUUCCUCUUCACCUUGGAAAAGCUGCAGGGACUUCAGGCAACUUUUAAUGGCAACUAUUGUUCGUCACCCUGGAGCAGCAGCAGGGACUUCUGGGUACUUGUGAUGACAACUGUUCGUCUUCACCCUGGAGCUGCAGCAGGGAACUCUGGUUACUUGUGAUGACAAGUGUUUGUCUUCACCCUCGAGCAGCAGCAGGGACUUCGGCAAGUUGUGAUGGCAACUGUUGUUCUUCACCCUGGAGCAGCACCAGGGAUUUCUGGUUACUUGUGUUGGCAAGUUCUUUUUCUCACACUGGACAUGCAGCUGGGACGUCUAGUUAUUGGUGAUAGGAAGUGUUCUUCUUCAAAGGGGAGCUGCAGCUUGGACCUUUACUUGGUUGGGAUGGCAAAGGCCUCUCUCCACCCCUAAGCUGCAGUUGGGACGUCUGCGUAGUUGUGAUGGCAAAGGCCUCGUUCUAUCCUGGAGCAGUAAAUGAGACCUCUGCUAGGUUGUGAUAGCAAAGACCUCAGUCCAACCCAGAGCUGCAACUGAGACCUUUGAUUUGUUGUGAUAUCAAAGGCCUCUCUCCACCCCUAAGCUGCAGCUGUGUCUUCUGCAUUUUUCUUAGGGAAUUUGGUCUUCUUCACCCAGUAGCUUCAGGAAAGAUUUCUGGUAACAUUUCAUGGCACGUGGUCCUCUUCCCCCUGGAGCCGCAGCAGGGACUUCUGGUUACUUGUGAUGACAAUUGUUCGUCUUCACCCUGGAGCAGCAGCAGGGACUUCUGGGUACUUCUGUUCACAAGUGUUCCUCUUCACCCUGGAACUACAGCAGGGACUUCUGGUUACUUGUGAUCAAAAGUGUUCGUCGUCAACCUGGACCAACAGCAGGGACUUCUGGCAACAUGUGAUGGCAACUGUUGUUCUUCACCCUGGAGCAGCAGCAGGGAUUUCUCGUUACUUGUGAUGGCAAGUGUUCCUCUUCACCCUGGAGCUGCAGCAGGGACUUUUGGUUACUUGUGGUCAGAAAUGUUCUUCUUCACCCUAGAGCUGCAGCAGGGACUUUUGGUUACUUGUGGUCAGAAGUGUUCCUCUUCACCCUGGAGCGGCAGCAGGGACUUCAGGCAACAUCUGAUGGCAACAGUUGUUCUUCGCCCUCGAGCAGCAGCAGGAAUUAGGGGUACUUAUGUUCGCAAUUAUUCCUCUUCACCCUGGAGCUUAAGAAGGGACUUCUGACAACAUGUGAUGGCAAGUGUUCCUCUUCACCCUGGAGCUGCAACAGGGACUUAUAAUAACUUGUGAUGGGAAGUGUUCCUCUUCACCCUGGAGAUGCAGAAGGGACUUCUGGCAAGUUGUGAUGGCAAGUGUUCCUCUUCACCCUGGAGCGGCAGUAGGGACUUCUGUUAAGUUGUGCUGGCAAGUGUUCCUCUUCAACCUGGAGCAGCAGCAGGGAUUGCUGGUUACUUGUGAUGAAAAGUGUUUCUCUUCACCCUGGAGCAGCAGCAGGGAUUUCUGGCUACUUGUGUUGACUAGUGUUCCUCUUCACCCUGGAGCGGCAGCAGGGACUUCAGGGUAACUUGUGAUGGCAACAGUUGUUCUUCACCCUUGAGCAGCAGCAGGGAUUCUGGGUACUUGUGGUGGCAAAUUCUUUUCGUCACACUGGACCUACAGGUGGGACGUCCAGUUAUUGGAGAUAGGAAGUGUUCCUCAAACGGGAGCUACAGCUUGGACCUCCGCUUAGUUGUGAUGGGAAUGGCCUACUUCCACCCAUAAGCUGCAGCUGGCACUUCUAUGUAGUUGUGAUGGCAAAGGCCUCUCUCAACCCUAAGCUGCAGCUGUGUCCUAUGCAUUUUUUUUAGGGCAAUUGGUCUUCUUCACCCAGUAGUUACAGGAACGAUUUCUGCUAACAUUCCAUGGCAAGUGGUCCUCUUCACCCUGGAGCUCCAGCAGGGACUUCUGCUUACUUGUGAUGACAAGUUUUUCUCUUCACCCAGCAGCGGCAGUAGGGACUUCUGGUUACUUGGGGUCACAAGUGUUCCUCUUCACCCUGGAGCAGCAGCAGGGACUUCUGGUAAGUUGUGCUGGCAAGUAUUCCUCUUCACCCUGGAGCAGCAGCAGGGACUUCUGGUAAGUUGUGUUGGCAAGUGUUCCUUUUCAGCCUAGGGCAGCAGCAGGGAUUUCUGGUUACUUGUGAUGACAAGUGUUUCUCUUCACCCUGUAGCGGCAGCAGGGACUUCUGGUUACUUGGGGUCAUAAGUGUUCCUUGUCACCCCAGAGCAGCAGCAGGCACUUCUGGGUACUUGUGGUCACACGUGGUCUUCUUCACCCUGGAGCUACAGCAAGGAGCUACAACUUUCUGGUAAGUUGUGCUGGCAAGUGUUCCUCUUCACCCUGGAGCUGUAGCAGGGACUUCUGGUAAGUUGUGCUGGCAACUGUUCCUCUUCACCCUGGAGCUGUAGUAGGGACUUCUGGUUACUAGUGGUGGCAAGUUCUUUUUGUCACAAUGGACCUGCAGCUGGGACAUCAAGUUAUUGGUGAUAGGAAGUGUUCUUCUUCAAACGGUUGCUGCAGCUUGGACCUCUGUUUAGUUGUGAUGGCCAAGGGGUCUCUCCACUUCUAAGCUACACUUGGGCCAUCUGCGUAGUUCUGAUGGCAAAGGGCUCAUUCUCUCCUGGAGCGAUAAAUGAGACCUCUACUUUGUUUUGAUAGCAAAGACCUCUCUCCACCCCUAAGCUGCAGCUGCGUCCUCUGCAUUUUUCUUAGGGAAAUUGGUCUUCUUCACCCAGUAGCUACAGGAAAGAUUUCUGGUAACUUUUGAUGGCAAGUGGUCCUGUUCACCCUGUAGCUGCAGCAGGGACUUCUGGUAACUUGUGAUGGCAAGUGGUCCUCUUCACCCUGGAGCUGCUGCAGGGACUUCUGGUAACUUGUGAUGGCAAGUGUUCCUCUUCACCCUGGAGCUGUAGCAGGGACUUCUGGUAACUUGUGAUGGCAAGUGUUCAUCUUCACCCUGGAGCAGCAGCAGGGACUUCUUAUAACUUGUGAUGGCAACUGUUGUUCUUCACCCUGGAGCAGCAUCAAGGACUUCUGUUAACUUGUGAUGGCAAGUGUUACUCUUCACCCUGGAGCAGCAUCAAGGACUUCUGUUAACUUGUGAUGGCAAGUGUUACUCUUCACCCUGGAGCUGCAGCAGGGACUUCUGUUAACUUGUGAUGGCAAGUCUUCCUCUUCACUGUGGAGCAGCAGCAGGGACUUCUGGUUACUUGUGGUGGAAAGUUCUUUUCGUCACACUGGACCUGCAACUGUGACUUACAGUUGUUGGUGAUAGGAAGUGUUAUUCUUCAAAUGGGCGCUGCAGCUUAGACCUCUGCUUAGUUGUGAUGGCAAAGGCCUCCCUCCACCCAUAAGCUGCAGCUGGGACAUCUGUGUAGUUGUGAUUGCAAAGGCCUCUCUCCAUCGUGGAGCUGCAGCUGAGACAGUUUCUUUGUUGUGAUGGCAAAGGCCUCUCUACACCCUAAGCUGCAGCUGCAUCCUCUGCAUUUUUCUUAGGGCAACUGGUCUUCUUCUCCCAGUAGCUGCAGGACAGAUUUCUGGUAACUUUUGAUGGCAAGUGGUCCUCUUCACCCGGGAGCUGCAGCAGGGACUUCUGGUAACUUGUGAUGGCAAAUGUUCAUCUUCACUCUGGAUAAGCAGCAGGGACUUCUUGUAACUUGUGAUGGCAAGUGUUCCUCUUCACCCUGGAACUGCAGAAGGGACUUCUGGUAAGUUGUGCUGGCAAGUAUUCCUCUUCACCCUGGAGCAGCAGCAGGGACUUCUGGUAAGUUAUGCUGGCAAGUGUUCCUCUUCACCCUGGAGCAGCAGCAGGGACUUCUGGUAAGUUGACCUGGCAAGUGUUCCUCUAUACCCUGGAGCUGCAGCAGGGACUUCUGGUAAGUUGUGCUGGCAAGUGUUCCCUUUCACCCUGGAGCAGCAGCAGGGACUUCUGGUUACUUGGCGUCAUAAGUGUUCCUCGUCACCCUAGAACAGCAGCAGGGACUUCUGGGUACUUGUGGUCACACGUGGUCUUCUUCACCCUGGAGCUACAGCAAGGAUUUCUGGUAAGUUGUGCUGACAAGUGUUCCUCUUCACCCUGGAGCAGCAGCAGGGACUUCUGGUUACUUGUGGUGGCAAGUUCUUUUCAUCACACUGGACCUGCCGCUGGGACUUCCAGUUAUUGGUGAUACGAAGUGUUCUUCUUCAAACGGGAGUUGCAGCUUGCACAUCUGCUUAGUUGUGAUGGUAAAGGCCUCUCUCCAUCCCUAAGCUGCAGCUGAGUCCUCUGCAUUUUUCUUAGGGCAAUUGGUCUUCUUCACCCAGUAGCUGCAGGAAAGAUUUCUGGUAACUUUUGAUGGCAAGUGAUCCUCUUCACCCUGCAGCUGCUGCCGGGACUUCUGGUAACUUGUGAUGGCAAGUGUUCAUCUUCACUCUGGAUAAGCAGCAGGGACUUCUUGUAACUUGUGAUGGCAACUGUUGUUCUUCACCCUGGAGCAGCAUCAAGGACUUCUGGUAACUUGUGAUGGCAAGUGUUCCUCUUCACCCUGGAACUGCAGGAGGGACUUCUGGUAACUUUUGAUGGCAAGUGGUCCUGUUCACCCUGUAGCUGCAGCAGGGACUUCUGGUAACUUGUGAUGGCAAGUGGUCCUCUUCACCAAGGAGCUGCAGCAGGGACUUCUGGUAACUUUUGAUGGCAAGUGGUCCUGUUCACCCUGGAGCCGCAGCAGGGACUUCUGUUAACUUGUGUUGGCAAGUGUUCGUCUUCACCCUUGGACAACAGCAGUGACUUCUGGUUACUUGUGAUGACAAGUGUUCCUCUUCACCCUGGAGCAGCAGCAGGGACUUCUGGUUACUUGUGUUAGCAAGUUCUUUUCAUCACACUGGACCUUGCCCUGGGACUUCCAGUUAUUGGUGAUAGGAAGUGUUCCUCUUCAAACGGGAGUUGCAGCUUGCACAUCUGCUUAGUUGUGAUGGCAAAGGCCUCUCUGCAUCCCUAAGCUGCAGCUGCGUCCUCUGCAUUUUUCUUAGGGCAAUUGGUCUUCUUCAACCAGUAGCUGCAGGAAAGAUUUCUGCUAACUUGUGAUGGCAAGUGUUCCUCUUCAUUGUGGAGCAGAAGCAGGGACUUCUGGUAACUUGUGAUGGCAAGUGUUCAUCUUCACCCUAGAGCAGCAGCAGGGACUUCUUGUAACUUGUGAUGGCAACUGCUGUUCUUCACCCUGGAGCAGCAUCAAGGACUUCUGGUAACUUGUGAUGGCAAGUGUUGCUCUUCACCCUGGAGCUGCAGCAGGGACUUCUGGUUACUUGUGGUGGCCAGUUUUCCGCUUCACUGUGGAGCAGCAGCAGGGACUUUUGGUAACUUGUGAUGGCAAUUUCUUUUCGUCACACUGGACCUGCAGCUGGGAUUUCCCGUUAUUUGUUAUGGCAAGUUUUCUUCUUCCAACGGGAGCUGCAGCUUAGAACUCUGCUAGGUUGUGAUGGCAAAGGCCUCUCUCCAUCCUGGAUCUGCAGCUGGUACCUCUGCUUGGUUGUGAUGGCAAAGGCCUCUCUGUAUCCUGGAGCUGUAACUGAGACCUCUACAUGGGUUUGAUGGCAAAGGCCUCUCUCUACCCUGGAGCUUCAGCUGCGUUCUUUCCAUUUUUGUGAUGGCAAUUGGUCUUCACCCAGUAGCUGCAGCUGGGCCUUCUGGUUACUUGUGAUGGCAAGUCUUCCUCUUCUCCCUGGAGCUGCAGCAGGUACUUCUAGUAACUUGUAAUGGCAAUUGUUCUUCUUCACCCUGGAGUAGCAGCAGGGACUUCUGGUUUCUUGUGAUGAUGGGAAGUGUUCUUCAAAUGCAAACUGCAGCUGGGACCUCUGCUUGGUUGUGAUGACAAAGGCCUCUCUCCACCCCAGAGCUGCAGCUGGGACCUCUGCUUCAUUUUGAUGGCAAGUUCUCCUCUUCCCCCUGGAGCAGCAGCAGGGACUUCUGGCUACUUGUGAUGGCAAGUUCUUUUCUUCACCCUGGACCCGCAGCUGGGAAUUCUGGUGACUUGUGAUGCAAAGUGUUUUUCUUCUAACUGGAGCUGCAACUGGGACCUCUGGUUUGUUGUGAUGCCAAAGCCCUCUCUCCGUCCCAUGGCUGCAGCUGGGACCACUACUUGCUUGUGAUGGCAAGUGCUCCUCUUCACCCUGGAGCUUGUUACAGGGAAUUCUAGUUACUUGUGAUGGCAAGUGCUCCUCUUCACCCUGGAGCAGCAUCAGGGACUUCUGGUAACUUGUGGUGGCAACUGUUGUUCUUCACCCUGGAGCAGCAGCAGGGACUUCUGAUUAAUUGUGAUGACAAGUGCUCUUCCUCACCCUGGACCCACAGCUGGGACUUCUGGUUACUUGUGAUGGGAAAGUGGUCUUCUUCAAACUGGAACUGCAGCCGAUACCUCUGCUUUGUUGUAAUGGGAAAGGCCUCUAUGCACCCCUGAGAUGCAGCUGGGACUAUUGCUUUUUUUGUUAUAGCAAGGUCUCUUCACCUAGUAGCUGCAGGGGGGACUUCCUCUUCCUUGUCAUCAUGCUGGCAGGUGCUCCUCUUCACCCUGGAGCAGUAGCAGGGAAUGUGUUUACUUGUGAUAACAAGUGAUCGUCUUCACUCUGGAGCUCCAGGUGUUACCACCAGUUUUUUGUGAUGGCAUUGGCCUCUCUCCCCCUUUGUGUGAAACUGGUAAUGUCUACCGUGCCCACACAGAGCUGCCCCUAAUCACCUUUUUAGCAGUUGUCUAAUACUUGGUUUCUUGGCAGUGAAAACUUUAAGAAAUGUGACAACUAUUCCUGCAGCUAUCACUGUGCCUCCCGUCCUCCAAGAUCCAUAGUAAGUGCCCUUCCCUUUGCCUUCUGAGCCAGUGACCCAAACUUCUCCUCACCUCAAACAUUUUUUUCAGCUGGACAAACUUUUUCUUUGUAUGGCACUUCAGAAUUUGAUUAUUUGAUAUUUUCAAGUUUUUUGGAAAGGCAAGUUGGUAGAGUUCCACUGGAAUGUUCUCUCUGUUCCACCAUCUUGGGGUUUUUUAGGGGGUGCAAGAACUUCCACUCCUGAAACAAAUUAAAACAGUUCCCCAAAAGAGGAGCACUAGGGAAGAUUAGGAGGAAGCAGUGAUCUACUUCCACAAAUUCACCUGAGUAUUCUUUAUCAAUUACACUUGAAGAAUAUGUCUGAGCUGGCCAGCCAUGAUCAUAAUUUAGUAGUGUUUCUUUCAAGAAAUUGUUAAUAUGAUUGAACACUGGAUGCAAUAGCUAGGAAUGCUGGGUUCUAUUCUUGAGUCUUGCUCUUAGCUUUCUGUCAAAGUUUUCCGAGAUGUAAAGGCUUCACUUUAGGGAAAAUGGAAACCCAGAACAACUGGAUUGAAUCUCUGGGGAGUUCAUAGACUGGAAAACGAAAGAGAACUUGCCCAAAUCCAUGAGGCAUUCUCAAGUAAUUUAGAAUUCUAAUGGCACUGGCAGUGUUGAGCAGCAGCAGCAAUGUCCCUUUGUGACCAUGGGCCAUGCUUUCUCUGUAGAUUUGACU